rnacentral:tRNA from 1 species
GCCUGGGUGGCUCAGUCGGUUGAGCAUCCAACUUCGGCUUAGAUCACUCAGAGCAUGAUCUCACAGUUCGUGAGUUCAAGCCCCGCGUCAGGCU